UUGUCCUCUGCAAUAUGGGGAAGGGGGACUCAUUCAAUCAAUUGGAAAUGUAAAUAGAGUAAAAAGGAGAACUAAGGAAGAAUUCACCCUCUCUGCCUGUUUUUGAGUUGGGACGUUGGUUUUCUCUUGCAGUUGAAUUGGAAGCUGUACCAUCAGUUUGGGUUCUCAGGCCUUCAGACUUGGAUUGAAACUCUACUACUGUCUUUUCUGGGUAUACAGCUUACAGAUGGCAGACUGAGACAUCUUAGUCUCCAUAAUCAUGACUUUCUUGGUGUUCCUGGCCAUCUGCCUGACGUCCAGAGUUGCCUGCAUUCUGACAAGACAGAAUGGCUCACCUAGCUUCAGAACAACAUCAGAGGUGCCAACACAAAGUAGACCAGAUACACUGUCCAAAAUACCCCUCCAUGGUUAUUCCAAACCAGGACUAAGCCAGGAGGUGUUCCAAAAAUAUAUCACUAUAUUUUGGCCUGAGUGUCACUUCCCCACUUGGCAAGCUAGGGCUAGAGAAAUUGGAACAGAGAUUUCCUGUUAGCCUGUCUUGUAUUCUCUCCUCUCAGAUAUACAUCUUUGACUUGUCCCAUCUCCAAUGACACAGUUGCCCCAGCUUUUAUAAUUAUUUGUACAUAUCAUAAAGGAGCAGAAGCUGUACAUUUUGUCUCCAACCUUCUCCAAAAUAAUUUCAGCCAAACUGUUCUCUUCACACUCAAAUGUUUUUAAGUGAAUAAAUGACCAACUGAAUGAA